rnacentral:lncRNA from 1 species
UACAUAGGCAUCUUUCUACACCUAGAUGCAAUUAAGGCAUUUACAAGAUUAUUCCAAGCCCUAAUUAACACCGAAUUUGAGCCUGGAAAUAGGCCCUGAGGGCCCUUGCACGCUGCGUACUGUGCGAGGAGGCAUCUUGCUGCGUCUGUGCAUUAAGCGAUUGGUGCUGGCAUGGGUGGGAGAUAGCGCGCGGCGGGUACCGAGGCUUCCUGCAGCGCAGGAAUAGCGAAACGCGAUUUCUUCUGCCCCCUUCUCCCCUCGCUUUGUGGCUUUCACGUUUUURCAAUGGAGAGAAAAAAAUAAAGCUUUUUCCCCCCCUUUCUAUCUACUGUGCUGUGGAAUGUGUUUCCGUGGGGCUGCGCUCCUGGGCAGGUCACGGGAGCUGCAGAUCCGGGGCCGCAGCAGGAGCUGCAGCAGCAGCUGAAUAACACUAUUGUAUAGAUAUAGUGAUAUAGUGAUCUACUGAUACGUAGAUAUAUAGAUWAAUAGAUAUAUAUAGCCAUCUUUCUCUCUCUCUAUGGAUAUAGAUAGACAAAUAUAUGUAUACAUAUCUAUAUAUGCACAUACACCUCUCUCUAUCUAUCUAUCCCUAUUAGAUCUAUACCAUAGAGUAUUUUCAUAUACCAUAUAGGUAUAUAGAGGUAUAUGCAGUGUGUGCAUGCAUACUUGGUAUGCCCGAUAUGCCUAUAUAUAAGUAUACACACACACAUAUAUAWAAGUAUACACAUAUAAACUAUUUACAUGCAUCAAAUAUAUAUGCAGGUUGGGGGUAUGUGAAUGUAUAUGCAGGUAUUUAUGGGCAGUUUGGGAGCACAAAGGCUUUGGAUUAGCAGAAAAAGGUUUUUCUUCUCGCGAGGAGCCAAAUACCCCCCAAACCGGGCAAUUUUCCACCAAAAUCAAUGCCAGCAGCCAAGCUGAUAAAUAAUAUAUAUAUUUUUUUCCUCUCUUUUUGCUCAUUUUUCUGCGUUCCUCGCCGCCCCGCUGCCCUUUCCAGCGGGUUUCCCUGAGCUUUAGGGAGGUUUUCGUGUUUUAACCCUCCUGGCAGCGGCCGGGCGACGUCUUCGGCGGCCGCGUCGGGUCGUUUCCCGUCGAAACCUUGCGCUGGGCGCGAACCCAAAUCCGCCGGCUGCGGCCGCGGCUCAGAGACGGAAAGCGGCUUUUCGGCAAACCCACUUGUACUCGGCGCUGCAGACCUCGGUGUGCGGCCGGCGCCCCUUGAGCACCCAGCAGCCCUUCGGGGCGGCCUCCAGCCUGCGGGGCAAAAAGGGGGGGGAAUAAAUAAAAAUAAGCAAUUAAG